rnacentral:lncRNA from 1 species
CUCUUAUAUACUAGUAUUAUAUUUGGGCUUAAAGAAUGAUACCUCUAAUUUAAUCAAUAGGCCCAAUAAGACCUAAUAUUUAAAUAUCUCUAAUUAGUUCAAUUAAAUUAAACUAACACAAUAUGCACCCCAAGUUAAUUAAUUCAAUUAUUCAUUAUAUCUCAUAUCAACUAAAUAAUUAAUUAACACACCAAAUUAAUUAAUAUAAUCGAUUAUUAUACUACCUAACAACCAAUUAAUUAAUUAACACUCUAAAAAAUUCAAUUAUUCAUUAUAUCUCAUAUCAACUAAAUAAUUAAUUAACACACCAAAUUAAUUAAUAUAAUCGAUUAUUAUACUACCUAACAACCAAUUAAUUAAUUAACACUCUAAAUAAAU